UGGGGAAUUUUGGACAAUGGGCGCAAGCCUGAUCCAGCCAUGCCGCGUGAGUGAAGAAGGGCCUUCGGGUUGUAAAGCUCUUUCGGCCGGGAAGAAAUCGUGGGUCUCUAACAUAGGCCAUGGAUGACGGUACCGGACUAAGAAGCACCGGCUAACUACGUGCC
rnacentral:rRNA from 1 species